UGGGGAAUAUUGGACAAUGGGCGCAAGCCUGAUCCAGCCAUGCCGCGUGAGUGAUGAAGGCCCUAGGGUCGAAAAGCUCUUUCACCGGUGAAGAUAAUGACGGUAACCGGAGAAGAAGCCCCGGCUAACUUCGUGCCAGCAGCCGCGGUAAUACGAAGGGGGCUAGCGUUGUUCGGAUUUACUGGGCGUAAAGCGCACGUAGGCGGACUAUUAAGUCAGGGGUGAAAUCCCGGGGCUCAACCCCGGAACUGCCUUUGAUACUGGUAGUCUUGAGUUCGAGAGAGGUGAGUGGAAUUCCGAGUGUAGAGGUGAAAUUCGUAGAUAUUCGGAGGAACACCAGUGGGGAAGGCGGCUCACUGGCUCGAUACUGACGCUGAGGUGCGAAAGCGUGGGGAGCAAACAGG
rnacentral:rRNA from 1 species